UUUAAGGAUUGGAAUGUUUGAUGAUAUAAAUAUCUCUGGUUUACAAAGGUGUCAAAUACAACUUUUACAAGUCAGCAUUCCAGCUUGUUAAAAACCAUUAACAGCAAAUCCAUAAAUCCAAGAGAGCACCACUGGACUUUAAUAUUCAUAAGCUGAUGACCAGUCACCACAUCUGACUCAACCAGAGGCCGUCGCUCAUUUGUAAAGGCUUUAAGUCUAUCCAACAACUUCACCCAACCAAUAUAAAUAUCCAACUCAUUAAAUGGAAUGAAUGCCAACUGAUGAGUUUGGGAAACCAGUGAAGAGGAAAUGACAGUAAAAGAGCAGAAGAGGAACACUGUAAAAGAGAGAAGAAGAGGAAGAAGAGGAGCAACAGGACAGGUUGGAGGGAAAUAAUUGUGGCCUGAAUGGUACAAAAGGAGGAGAAGCUAGAAGAGAGAGAGAGAGAAUGAGUGAAGUGGUCAAAGGAGGAAAAUGGAAGAAUGAGAGAGA